UGAAUUAGAAUAGACUUCCAACUAGUGAGGAUUUAUUUUACAUCACAAUAGUUUGCAUACUUGUAUGAUUCUUAGAUCAAACCUCAAAAAAUUAAUUAUCACACUAAAUAACAAAUUGUCACGGACACAGAAAUACAGACUCGAGAUCUAACAAGAAGUUCAAGAAGAACUGGCAAGAACUAGAUUAAUCAGAUGAAUACAAGAACAACACCAGAGAGGUGAGCU
rnacentral:lncRNA from 1 species